AUUGAACGCUGGCGGCAGGCCUAACACAUGCAAGUCGAGCGAGCGGCGGACGGGUGAGUAAUGUAUGGGGACUGCCCGAUAGAGGGGGAUAACUACUGGAAACGGUGGCUAAUACCGCAUACUAUCGGAUAACCCAUAUGGGAUUAGCUAGUAGGGGGGGUAAAGGCUCACCUAGGCGACCAUCUCUCACUGGUCUGAGAGGAUGAUCGCCCACACUGGGACUGAGACACGGCCCAGAGUCUUACGGAGGCAGCGGUGGGGAAUAUUGCCAAAUGGGCGCAAGCCUGAUGCGGACAGGCCGCGUGUAUGAGACAGGCCUUAGGGUUGUAAGGUACUUUCAGCGGGGAGGCGGUACCCGCAGAAGAAGCACCGGCUAACUCCGUGCCAGCAGCCGCGGUAAUUC
rnacentral:rRNA from 1 species